AGUGAACGCUGGCGGUAGGCCUAACACAUGCAAGUCGAACGGCAGCACAGUAAGAGCUUGCUCUUACGGGUGGCGAGUGGCGGACGGGUGAGGAAUACAUCGUAAUCUACUUUUUCGUGGGGGAUAACGUAGGGAAACUUACGCUAAUACCGCAUACGACCUACGGGUGAAAGCAGGGGAUCUUCGGACCUUGCGCGAUUGAAUGAGCCGAUGUCGGAUUAGCUAGUUGGCGGGGUAAAGGCCCACCAAGUCGACGAUCCGUAGCUGGUCUGAGAGGAUGAUCAGCCACACUGGAGCUGAGACACGGUCCAGACUCCUACGGGAGGCAGCAGUGGGGAAUAUUGGACAAUGGGCGCAAGCCUGAUCCAGCCAUACCGCGUGGGUGAAGAAGGCCUUCGGGUUGUAAAGCCCUUUUGUUGGGAAAGAAAAGCAGCAGGUUAAUACCCCGCUGUUCUGACGGUACCCAAAGAAUAAGCACCGGCUAACUUCGUG
rnacentral:rRNA from 1 species